UACGUAGGGGGCAAGCGUUGUCCGGAAUCAUUGGGCGUAAAGAGCGUGUAGGCGGCUCGAUAAGUCUGCUGUGAAAGUCCAGGGCUCAACCCUGGAAGGCCGGUGGAAACUGUCGGGCUAGAGUCCGGAAGAGGCGAGUGGAAUUCCCGGUGUAGCGGUGAAAUGCGCAGAUAUCAGGAGGAACACCAAUGGCGAAGGCAGCUCGCUGGGACGGUACUGACGCUGAGACGCGAAAGCGUGGGGAGCAAACAGG
rnacentral:rRNA from 1 species